UUCCUCCAUUAAAAAAAUUUUACCUUGAUUAUUUAUUUUUUUUUUUUUUGAGACAGAGUCUUGCUCUGUUGCCCAGGCUGGCGUGUAGUGGCGCGAUCUCGGCUCACUGCAACCUCCGCCUCCCAGGUUCAAGCGAUUCUCCUGCCUCAGUCUCCCAAGUAGCUGGGAUUACAGGCAUGUGCCACCACGCCUGCUAAUUUUUGUAUUUUUAGUAGAGACAGAGUUUGACCAUGUUAGCCAGGAUGGUCUUGAUCUCGUGAUCCACCCACCUCAGCCUCCCAAAGUGCUGGGAUUAGAGGCGUGAGCCACUGCGCCCGGCUAAAAAAUUUUACCUUUUAAAUACCUUUAUUGUAGAGAAAAUACAAUUAGC
rnacentral:lncRNA from 1 species